rnacentral:tRNA from 1 species
GGAGGGGCCAUGGCUUGGGGGAUGAGCAUCUGCUUGGCAUGCAGAAAGGUCCCUGGUUCAACCCCCGGCAUCUCCA